UACAGAGGGGGCAAGCGUUAUUCGGAAUUAUUGGGCGUAAAGGGCGCGUAGGCGGCUUUUCAAGUGACGGGUGAAAUCCCUCGGCUUAACCGAGGAACUGCCUGUCAGACUGGAAGGCUUGAGACCGGGAGAGGUGAGUGGAAUUCCCAGUGUAGCGGUGAAAUGCGUAGAUAUUGGGAGGAACACCAGUGGCGAAGGCGGCUCACUGGACCGGUACUGACGCUGAGGCGCGGAAAGCGAUGGGGAGCAAACAGGGGAUUAAGAUGAUCCCGG
rnacentral:rRNA from 1 species